UGGGGAAUUUUCCGCAAUGGGCGAAAGCCUGACGGAGCAAGACCGCGUGAGGGAAGACGGCCUACUGGUUGUAAACCUCUUUUGAUAGCGAAGAACACAAUGACGGUACCUAUCGAAUCAGCCUCGGCUAACUCCGUGCCAGCAGCCGCGGUAAUACGGAGGAGGCAAGCGUUAUCCGGAAUUAUUGGGCGUAAAGCGUCCGUAGGUGGAUAUUCAAGUCAGUCGUUAAAGCGUGGAGCUUAACUCCAUAAAGGCAAUUGAAACUGAAUGUCUAGAGUGCGAUAGGGGCAAGGGGAAUUCCCAGUGUAGCGGGGAAAUGCGUAGAUAUUGGGAAG
rnacentral:rRNA from 1 species